rnacentral:tRNA from 3 species
CAGGGAGUAGUUUAAUAUAGAAUUUCAGCUUUGGGUGUUGACGGUAGAAUUAGGUAUUCUUUCCCUGA